rnacentral:lncRNA from 10 species
GUUCAAAUGGGUUGCUUUACUCACUCUCCUAGAUAACAGCCCAUUUGUCAACAUCUUUGGCGGUUUAAGCCGUUCUUUGUCAAAACCACUUUUGGAAAAGAUUUGACCAUUUAUUUACAUGGGAGCCAACGUGACGGCAGCAGGUGCGUCAUGGAAAACUCGGACGUGGGUGCUGCAAAGCCGCUGGGAUUCGGUCACGUGACAGCCCGCCUGCUGCCCGGCCAGCGGGCCAAAUGGCCACACGGGAAGGAGGGACAGAGGAGAAAAUAGUAGGCAAAGUGUUGGCGUGAGGCAGGUGGUGGAUGAGGCAGUCGCAAAGAGAAAGGAUUGCAACAUCAGGGAGGAGAUGAAAGGCCUCAUAUCAUUUUGCAGCCAACAAGAAACCUGAAGGAACUAAGUUUGGCUCUAUUUCUACAGCUUGUGAAAAGCUGAGAAUGGAAGCAAUGACUGGGCUAAUUCUGGACAAAAUUUUUUAAAAUGAUUUUUGUCAGAGGAGCCCAGAUCUUUGCCUCAAUUCUUUGCUUUUGUCUAAAUUGCUCAUUUUUCCAAAUUUCUGUAAGUAAUUUUUUAGGUGAUGUGAAUUGAUUUGCCUUUGGUAUACCGGACAAGAUUUUAUUUUAUUUUAUUAUUUUAUUUUUGAGACGGAGUUUCGCUCUUGUUGCCCAGACUGGAGUGCAGUGGUGUGAUCUCAACUCACUACAACCUCUGCCUCCCGGGUUCAAGCGAUUCUCCUGCCUCAGCCUCCUGAGUAGCCGGGAUUACAGGUGCCCGCCACCACACCGAGCUAAUUUUUGUAUUUUUAGUAGAGAUGGGGUUUCACCACGUUGGCCAGGCUGGUCUCAAACUCCUGACCUCAGGUGAUCCAUCUGCCUCAGCCUCCCAAAGUGCUGGGAUUACAGGUGUUAGCCACCGUGCCCAGCCUGGACAAGAUUAUUUGAGACAUCUCUGGUGGCCUAAAUCGUGAAGGGUUUGCCCCCUGUUUCCUUUUGUCCACUUUCCUCAUAGUGCCAUUUUGUUUUGUGCCUUCACUCAGCCUGAACUGGCUGGUGAAAGUGGCACAGCCAACUGUUGCCAGACAGUGAUGUCCUGUCAAAUUCCUGUACCUGCAUGGGUACGUUCUCAUGUUCUCUGAAAUAUUAUUCCUUUCCCUUAACAGAGCUCACCAGACAAGAAACAGAAAAGUGUUUUGAGUACUUUGAAUCAAAAGUGGUCUCUGAAUUUAAGGCAUUUUUAUUAUUUUAUGUGUUAUUUGUAGUUCAAAAGGGUCUUCCUAUUCAUCAUAGUAUUAGAGGCAUUUGAUGGAAAAGUAGUGUGCCAAGGUGAUUAGUGACAACAACAACAAAAGCAACUUAUUUUUGAGCCUGUGAAAGGCCCUCUUCUAGACACUUUAUACAACAGCUGUAUCCUUAUUGAUAGCCCUGCAAGAAAAGCUAUUUUCCAAGAAGAAAAAGAAAAUGGAAGUACAAAUUUCCAACAGCACACAUUUUCUCUGCUCUCUCCUUGGCUCUGAAAGAGGAUGCGUGAAACAGAAUUUCAGGCUGUAAUUAAUGCAGCUCUUCAUAAGAUAAGAGGUUCUUUUAUCUACAGAAAAAUUGCUGCACUAAUUCCCAACAAGAAGUGCAAUGCUCCGGUUAAUGCUCUUUCUACAAGAAGAAUUCACCUUUUCUACCCUCUACAUAUUUACAGACAAAUUUGAAUAUUUUGUUAUGGGAAACUGAAGAUGGGUAAACAUACAAUGAUAAUAGUACUUUAUAGGGCUAAAUCUAAAAGCCUUAAAGAUUAAUAUUAUGUUUGGAUAAAUGCUGAAUAAGUUUACAUAAAGAAUUUUCAAAUAACAUUGACGCUACAGGCAUGUACUUGUAAGCACAGACCUUAAUUGGGCACAACUUAGAUCCAGCACUCUUUGAGGGGGAGAAUAAACAAAUUGGGAAAUGCAUCCUCAUUUGAUACAGUGAGGAAAAAGAGCUAUGGUUCCUUGCUCUGCUUUAAAGUACUGUCCAAAGAAGGAUGAAGCCCCGCUAUUUCAUUUUGAUUUAAAUAUUUCCUUGUAGAAUGCACAUUCCAAUUUGGAAACAAUACUUUCUAUAUGUAUGUUUCAUGUAUGUGCUUGGAAUAAUUGGUAAUGUGUUGGCACUGUGUUCCACUUAAAUGCAUGGCAUUUGUAUACUAUUUAAUGUUUUGUUGUUGUUGUUGUUUUUGAGAUGGAGUCUCAGUCUGUUGCCCAGGCUGGAGUGCAAUGGUGUGAUCUAGGCUCACUGCAACCUCUGCCUCCCGGGUUCAAGCAAUUCUCCUGCCUCAGCCUCCUGAGUAACUGGGAUUACAGGCGCCUGCCACCACGCCUGGCUAAUUUUUUUUUUUUUUUUUUUUUUUUUUUUUUUUUUUUUUUUUAGUAGAGAUGGGGUUUCUCCAUGUUGGCCAGACUGGUCUUGAACUCCUGAACUCAGGUGAUCCACACACCUUGGCCUCCCAAAGUGCUGGGAUUACAGGCGUGAGCCACUGCACCGGCCUUUUAAUGUUUUCUUAAAAACCAGUUUUCUAAGAAAAAAAGAAGAAUGGGAAUACAGCAAAUGAGUAGAAGACAGAGAUCACAAGAAUCGUGCCUGAGGUCCUGGCAAAGAAGACCCCACUGUAAGGCAGAAUGGCACCUCUGAUUCAUUGGCCCCUUUGUAUUGUUCUCAAUUUCUAUAUCCAUAAAUAAUAAGAUUUUCAUUCCCUUCCUUCCACUCUGUGAGGUGGAUGUGAAAUAGGUAGAGAGGUUUGUCACUGGGUGCAAGGCUAAGAUGCUCAGUUAAAGCAGGAAAUUACGUUGUUUGGCUGAGAAAUACGUGUAAUUUCUAAGUGUGAUUAUUGCAAGUAAAAAUGAGUGAUGUUUCAACAAGAGGGUUAUUGUAAUUCAGGGUAUAGCAACAAUUUUAAUGUAAGCGAGAAGAUGUUUGUAACACUUCCAAAAAAAUAGUACUGUAUCAGUCCAGUGUCCACUUUCCUCCAAACCUUCGUGCCCACGCACACACACAUAAAUACAUGCAGGAUUCCUGAGCAGGGAAGGAUCCUUUCUCACGUGUUCACAAAGAGACUUUUAAGCUCAGAACCUCUUGAGGGUGAGAAACUUUUCUUGGCAGACUAUCAACUGGUUCUGAGUGAACAAAUCCGACAGAGCCCUUUUCCUUGCUUCUUUUUGUUCAUAUUGUUCACCCUCUCACAGCAAGGAAGGCUGCUAGGUAGAGUAAGGGGACUCUCAAAGGAGAUGAAGGUAAAUUUUUCUGGAAUAGCUGCAGAGCAAUUCUAAUGCUUCAGUUAAUCUGUUACCUCUUUCCUUGCCCCUAGCCUUCAGUUUUCCUUUUGUAUCCUGAAAAUAACAUUGACAUUAAAUUGGGUCAGUGGAAAAAAAUCAGUCACCAACUGUUGCUUAUAAUUUUGCCCCCAAGAAAACAUUUGGUAACUAACCCUUAUCUAGAGUACACACUAUGCACAGCUCCUAGGGUGAUAUUUGAAUCUAUUCACCUUAGGGAAAGUUGUUGAUUCUUUUAGACUCAAAUUUCCACAAUCAGAAAAUUCACCUAAUGCCUUUCUAAUGUGUUAUGCUUCACAGAAGGAGUUUAAGAUCAGUGUAAAUAGAUAUACACCCAAUAGAAGUCAUUGCAAUAUACACGAGCAGACAUGUCCAAGUAUGCUUAUAGUUGCACUAUUCAAAUCAACCUAAACUACUUGAAAUUAAACGGCGAUUGACAGGAAAAUAAAAUGUGGCAUUCAAACAUGGAAUUCUAUAAGGCAGCAAAAAUGAACGGACUACAGCUACAUACAAUACAGAUGAAUCUUAAAAACAUAAUGCAUGAAAACAUAAGUUUCAAAGAUUACUAAUAACAUAAAACCCCCUCUACAUAAAAAAGUAACUUAAGGCCAGGCACAGUGGCUCAUGCCUGUAAUCCCAGUGCUUUGGGAGACCGAGGUGGGCGAAUCACCUGAGGUCAGGAGUUCAAGACCAGCCUGGCCAACAUUGUGCAACCCCGUCUCUACUAAAAACACAAAAAUUAGCCAGGUAUGGUGUUGCAUGCCUGUAAUCUCAGCUACUCAGGAGGCUGAGGCAGGAGAAUUGCUUGAACCCAGGAGGCAGAGGUUGCAGUGAGCCGGGAUCACGCCACUGCACUCCAGCCUUGGCAACAGAGUGAGACUCCAUCUAAAAAAAAAAAAAAAAGUAACUUAAAAAAUUAUUUAGUAGGUAUACCUACAGUGAUAAAACUACAUAAAAAUCCUAAGAGUAGUACUUACACUGGGGGUGGGAAGGCAGGGACAGGAAGAGGGAGAGUAGUACACAGGUGGAUUAUUGUCAGUGUUUCAAACAAACAUUUGUUCAUGUUAACUCAUUAUAUUAUUGAACAUUAAUAAUCAAAGGACCAUGCAUAAGGAAAAAACUGACACGGAAUAUCAAAGUAUUGGCAGAGAAAAACCAUGAUGAGUAUAUAGUGAUGUUCACAGUGAAAUGCCAUAGGAUACUCAGUUUUGUGCAAAAUAAAUAACAAAACUCAGAACUCAUCAUAAGGGAACAUGCCACAGAAUCUGACUCUGGCCACCUCUAAUCGUUCCUCAUGUCUGCUUUUUCAUUUGUUUGUUUGUUUUGAGACAGAGCCUUGCUCUGUUGCCCAGGCUGGAGUGCAGUGGCACGAUCCUGGCUCACUGCAACCUCUGCCUCCUGGGUUCAAGUGAUUUUCCUGCCUCAGCCUCCCAAGUAGCUGGGAUUACAGACGUGCACCACCACACCUGGUUAUUGUAUUCUUAGUAGAGACAGGGUUUCACCAUGUUGGCCAAGCUGUUUUCAAACUCCUGGCCUCAAGUGAUCCACCCACCUCAACCCCACAAAGUGCCUGUAACCACUGCACGAGGACUCCUCACGUCUGUUUGAUCCUUACCUGACUUCUUUGGGAACCAUCUUCCUUCUAGUUUGAAUCCCUAAUUGUAGAUAUUUCCUGUGACUUUAUCUUUGCUCCUCUUUUUUCUUCCCUAUAUAAUCUCUCACUGGAAGAGCACAACCACUCCCAUGGCUCCAACUGCCUUUCAGAUGCUCCCAAAUCCAUCCAUCCAACAUUGAUCUCCCACGGGUAGCAUUAAACCAACUGCUUCCAGGGUAAAUCCUCUAGGAUUCUAGCUAUUUUCUUUUUUCUUUUCUUUUUUUUUUUUUUUUUUUUUUUGAGACGGAGUCUCGAUCUGUCGCCCAGGCAGGGUGACCAGGAACUAGUCACUCAAGCUCUCUGUUAAUUUCCUCAUCUCUGAAAAGCGGUGUCUAUAGAUAUCAUUUCUAAGCUCCUGUUUCUAAAUUUCUAUGAAUUCAUGAAUUAUUGACUCUUCUUGACAUUAGCUAUUUGUCCAGGAUAUCACUAUUAUUCUAGGCUUAUCUUUGACUUAUUUCUAUUUUUGUGUGCUGAUUCCUAAUCUGAUGCCAAAUUUUGUCAUUUCUCUUAUUGAAAUGUCUCUCAAAUUUACCCCAUUUUAUCCAUUUCCUUGGUUUUCCCUUAGUCCUGGACCUAAUAAGUUUAGACUUAGAUUACUUGAAAGGUGUCCAGACAGGUUUCCCUGCUUCCUGUCCCCUCCUUCAUUCAAGUCCUCUGACACACCACUUCUAGAUUAUUCAUGAAAAUAUAAUAAAAAUUGUCACACCCACUUAAGAGCAUUCUUAUUUAAUUCUGUGUUAUCUACUAAAGCAAUUCCAAUAUCUCUGGCUAGUUUAAGACCCUCCAUGACUCCAUGUGACUGAUCUCUCCAGCUUUCUUACCACUCCUCAGCACUUAAACUGCAUUGAAACGAGUGUCAUUGAAGUCACACAAGCAUGUACCUAAACUCCAGCUUCUAAGCCUUUAUCCAUGCCAAUUCCUCAAACUAAAAUGUUCUCUUUCUCUUUUUUCCCAAAGAUGUGCAUUUUUCAAGGACCAACUAAAAUUCCACCUAUUUAGAGCUUUCUCUAGCAUUUCAAGUCUCUGUUAAACUUUCUUCUCACCUAAAUACAACAGCAGCUAAAACUCGAUGAUGGACAAUUGAUUAUUGCUUCUUAAUUUUUCAAAGCAUUGUUUGUUUUAAUCUCCCAACCAAAUUAAAAUAUUCCUAAAGGCAGAAAUCAUGUCUCAAAUCUUUCUUAUAGUUUCCUUUCUUAUGGUUUCUUAUUCAUUGAAUAAAUAUUAAUCUCAAGUGCUGAAAGUGUGUACAUCCUAAAUAAAAUCAGUAUCUAUGAGGAUAUGUUCAAUUUAACCUUUAUUGAGCACUACUUUUAUAAGGGUCUGUGAUAGUCAUGAGGGACUUGAAACUUGAAUACAUAAUUCUCCUUGAGAAGCUCAGACUCUUUUAAAUUUGGAGUAAUACAUUCUACUACCUGU